GCUGCUUUAGUACCCAACUGGCUGAAAGAAGAGAGAAGACAUUAAGGGAGGAUUUGAAGUCUCUACCCCGAUCUUAUAAAUGAUAUCAAAUCUUCCUAGAUCAGGAUACAUCUAGUUGCUAGAUGAAGAGAUUACCCUAAUAAUUUCAGAGAUGGGUUUUAUCCCUGUUGUAUAUCUGAGGAAACCGAGACCCCGAUCAGGUAAGCAACUUUACCACAAUGACAAAGCUCUUCCGUGGAGAAACCAGAACAUAAACUAAGGUCAGCUUGACCCAAAGUUCCUGCUCACCAUGUCCAUGUCUCUGCCCACAGACACUGUAGUGCAGGAAGAUACCCUCAAGCAGGGUGGAGCGGGGCUGGAAUUCAUGUUGUGUGAGCCUGUGGUCGCCUGGGUGGCUCCGUUGGUUAAGUAUACGACUUCGGCUCCAGUCAUGAUCUCACGGUUUGUGAGUUUGAGCCCCGCGUUGGGCUCUGUGCUGACAGCUCAGAGCCUGGAGCCUGCUUCGGAUUCUGUGUCUCCCUCAUUCUCUGCCUCUCCCCUACUCAUGCUCUGUCUCCCUCUCCCACUCUCAAAAAAAUAAACAUGAAAAUUUUUUAAAAAUUUAAUUCCAGUGUAUCUACCAUACAGGGUUAUAUUAAUUUCAAGUGUACACUAUUAAUUCCAUUUUUAAUGAUUAUCAGGCAUUUGUUUAGUGUUCCCUGGGCCAUUCUUCUCUGAGUUUUGAGGUCACUGACUCUGCUAGAGGAUCAGAUUAAUAAGGUUUUGUUAAAACUGCAGCCUUAUUUUAACUGUGCGCUGAAGAAUUAAGAGAGCCGUUUAUGAUCAAUGGAAAUGCAAGAAUCUGAAAAAAGUUAUGUUGAGACACCGUGAGGAGCUGAGAAACCUGCCGCUGUGACUAAGCAACCAUCUCAAGCGAGAAUCACCACAAAGACCAACGUGAGA